rnacentral:lncRNA from 1 species
AACCAACAGAGACAAACUGAAAACAGCCCAUUGUCAUCAUUUUUAACGAGUCAAAGAUAAACAGCCAGGCUGAUUAUGGAAGACUGACUUUUCCUCCUCCAUCCCAAUGAUUUUCAUAAUAAAGUGAAUGGAGGACAAGUAGGUGCCAUGAUUAAUGUCAAUCCUGAUACGAAAAAGAAGAAAGAAGGCUGUCCUUUUAUUCAACAAGGCAUUGGAAUAAGUAUAAAGAUGUUUCAGGAGUCAGGAUAUGAACAAACAUUCUGGCAAGCCACCACUCAACGCACUGCAGCAUCUGUUUCACUAAAGAGCAAGAUUCCAAAGCUUAGAAUAUAUGCACCCAUGAGAGGGGAGAAGAGGACAUUUUUUGCUCGGGGCUUGUACCUAGAGCAUGUGAAACAUUAGGAGUCUCCUAACAUCAGAAGAUGACAAGGCUAUUAGGCCUCAGAGAGCUUCACUGGCUUCAGGAGCAGCAUGAGCAAUCAGGGCAACAGCAGGACUGCUGGUCACAAGGACACAUGUGCAGAAGAAGGAUUCCCUGAUGAACCCCAAAAUCACUGAGGACAAAAUUCACAGGCCAAGUGCCUCCAAAGAAACACAGUUUUAUGACGAUUAUUGUUGCUCCAUUAUUAACUUCCACAGGCAAGUGUGUUCUGUGGCACCCUAGUUUCGAUUAUACGUACAUACAUAUGCAUUUAAAGCUUUCAGUUGCAUUUUCCUCUAAAUAGCUUAACAUCACAA